rnacentral:rRNA from 1 species
AGUAAAGAUUUAUUAAUUGAUUUUUUUAGGGAGGAAAAUUAUUAUAAAAAUAAUUUUAUUGGUUUAUAUUUUAGUAUAUUUUAUAGAAAAAAUAAUAUUUAUUAUAAAGAAUUAGUAUUGUAAAAGAAUAUUGAAAUAAUAUGAAAAUUUAUUUAUUUAAAAGAAAUAUUAAUUUUGUGUACCUUUUGUAUCAGGGUUUAUUAAAUAAGUUUUAUUAAUAUAUAAAUUUCUCGAAUUUAAAAGAGUUAAUGGGUUAUUAAAGUUAAUGUGGAAAAAUUAUUUUAAAUAAUUUAUUAGUAAUGAAAUGUUAUUCGUUUUUAAAUAUAUCUAGUUUUUUAAGAAAUAAAUUUAAUUUAUUUAUUAAUAAUAUAAUUUUUUCUAUAUAAAAUUAAUUAUUUAUUGAUAAAAAUAUAAUAAGGGAUAAGCUUUAUUUUAUUUUCUAUAAUUGAAUUAGAAGAAAUUUUAUUUGUAAGUUUAGAAAUAGCUAUCAAUAAUAAGUUUGUUUUAAUUUAUAAAAUUUAUAUAUGAUUUAUUGUGAUUUAGAAUAUUUAUUAAAAUAUUUAUUGUAAUAAUUAAAGUAAAGAAAUAAUGAUAAAAUUAGUAUAAAUUUUUGUUUAAUUUAAUAUAAAUUAAAGAUUAAAUUAAGGAAUUCGGCAAAAUUAGUACUCACCUGUUUAACAAAAACAUGUCUUUUUGAUUAUAAUUUAAAGUCUAACCUGCCCACUGAAUAAUUUGAAGGGCCGCGGUAUUUUGACUGUGCAAAGGUAGCAUAAUCAUUAGUCUUUUAAUUGAAGGCUUGUAUGAAUGGUUGGAUGAGGUAUUAACUGUCUCAAUUUAAUAAAUUAAAGAAUUUUAUUUUUAAGUUAAAAAGCUUAAAUUUUAUUGGAGGACGAGAAGACCCUAUAGAUCUUUAUAAUUAAAUUAAUAAUAAUUUUGUUGAAUAAAUUUAUUGUUAUUAAUUAAAUUAUUUUAUUGGGGUGAUAAAAAAAUUUAAUAAACUUUUUUUUAAAAAAAAACAAUUAUAUUUGAAUAAUGGAUCUAUUUUUAGUGAUUAUAAGAUUAAGUUACCUUAGGGAUAACAGCGUAAUUUUUUUGGAGAGUUCAUAUCUAUAAAAAAGAUUGCGACCUCGAUGUUGAAUUAAAGGUUAAUUUUAGGUGUAGAAGUUUAAAAUUUUGGUCUGUUCGACCAUUAAAUCUUUACAUGAUUUGAGUUCAAACCGGCGUAAGCCAGGUUGGUUUCUAUCCUCAAUUAUUUAAAAUAUUUUAGUACGAAAGGACCAAAUAUUUAAAUUAAAUUUUUAAAAUUGAAUAUAAUUAAU